rnacentral:lncRNA from 1 species
CGGCCGCGUAGUUAGGUGGGGAACACUGAGCUGUGUGCCAGCCGAAGCAGGAAGGGAGGUGGCUGCAGAGCCAUUCUUAAAGGGGCCCAAGAGAUCAUACGGCAACGGACGGCUGACGACCGGAAGGAAAAUGUGUGAAAUACUGAGCUUGACCUGACACCCAAGAUGGCCCUUGGCUUCCACAUUUCCCCACCUCCUCUCCACUUCUAAUGAAAUGCCAUUAGGAUGUGCUUGGCUUUCGAAGUAAUUAUCAACCAAAGAGAAAGUUAAAGUGAAGCUUGUAUUAGAGAAGAGCAGAGCUGCGCUAAGCUCUGCGGAGCCAAGAGUGAGUCUUUGGUGGUUUGUGAUGUUGCUGAAGAUUUAGUGGAAAAGCUGAGAAAGUUUCGUUUUCGAAAAGAAACCCACAAUGCUGCUAUUAUAAUGAAGAUUGACAAGGAUAAACGCUUGGUGGUGCUGGAUGAGGAGCUCGAGGGUGUCUCUCCAGAUGAACUUAAAGAUGAACUACCUGAACGGCAACCUCGACCUUCAUUGUGUAUAGUUAUAAAUACCAGCACGACGAUGGCCGGGUCUCCUACCCUCUGUGCUUUAUCUUCUCCAGUCCUCUGGGGUGCAAACCUGAGCAGCAGAUGAUGUACGCUGGGAGUAAGAACAAGCUGGUCCAGACCGCCGAGCUAACUAAGGUAUUUGAAAUAAGAAACACCGAAGACCUAACUGAAGAAUGGU